rnacentral:lncRNA from 1 species
UGAAUCUUUCUGUUACAUCGCCAUACAAUGCUGAUUUUGAUGGUGAUGAAAUGAACAUGCAUGUCCCUCAGUCGUUUGAAACUAGAGCAGAAGUUUUGGAGUUAAUGAUGGUGCCUAAAUGCAUUGUGUCUCCUCAAUCAAAUAGGCCUGUAAUGGGCAUCGUCCAGGAUACACUUUUGGGAUGCCGUAAAAUUACUAAAAGAGAUACCUUCAUUGAGAAGGUAAUAGUGAUAACUAUUUCACUUGGGCUAGGUUGCUUUAAUGUUAUUUCUUCCUGGUUGAUACUCAAGUGUGAUUUCCACUUCCUUCUGCAGGAUGUUUUCAUGAACAUAUUGAUGUGGUGGGAGGAUUUUGAUGGGAAAGUUCCUCAACCCACAAUUUUAAAACCUCGGCCUCUUUGGACUGGGAAACAAGUUUUUAAUCUGAUCAUACCUAAGCAAAUAAAUCUAUUCAGAACGGCUGCCUGGCAUGCAGACAAUGACAAGGGUAUACUCACUGCAGGGGAUACCCUAGUUCGAAUAGAAAAAGGGGAGCUGCUUUCUGGAACGCUUUGCAAGAAGACCCUUGGCACAUCCACAGGAAGUCUUAUACACGUUAUUUGGUAAGUCCUUUCGGUUUAUGGUUAACAAGAGAUAUUUCAGCAUUGCAGAUUGUAGUCAAAAGUAUGAGGUACCUAGAAUUUUGGAUAUUCUAGUUAUGUGAUUGAGACCUGCCACAAUAUCUAUCAUUUUGGCUCAUAGUGAAGGAAAAUAAUGUUUAACAGGCAUGCCAUGCUUGUAUAUUAGUUUGGGAGCCAAAAAAUAAAUAUUGAAUGAAUAUAUUUGGAGAAAGAACAUACAUGUAACAGUGGAAAAAACCAUAAGCUGUAGCCCUACCAAGUUUUAUUCUGCUUUAUGUCUAGUAUGUAAAAUACUAGGAGAGAGACAGGUAUAACACCAUUGUUAAUGCUUUUCGUUGUUUUUAGUAAAUUCUACAAUUUUUAAACUUUUAUUUUGGUCUCAUGCAUACAGGGAGGAAGUUGGUCCAGAUGCUGCUCGCAAGUUCUUGGGACAUACACAGUGGCUUGUUAACUAUUGGCUUUUGCAGAAUGCUUUUAGUAUUGGAAUUGGAGAUACAAUUGCUGAUGCAAAAACAAUGGAAACUAUCAACGAUACCAUUUCUAAAGCAAAGAAUAAUGUGAAAAACCUUAUUAAGCAAGCCCAAGACAAAAGCUUAGAGCCUGAGCCUGGACGGACUAUGAUGGAGUCAUUUGAGAACAAAGUGAACCAGGUGCCUAACUAGAAGUCUAGAAUUGCUUCUUUACUGACUCUUUUGUUCUGGUUCCUUUAGCUCAUACUAUUAUAUCUCCAUUCUUCAGGUUCUGAAUACAGCUCGUGAUGAAGCUGGAAGUAGCGCGCAGAAGAGUUUAUCAGAAAGCAAUAAUCUUAAGGCAAUGGUGACAGCUGGAUCCAAAGGAAGUUUCAUCAAUAUAUCACAGAUGACUGCUUGUGUGGGGCAGCAGAAUGUGGAAGGAAAGCGUAUCCCAUUUGGGUUUGUAGAUCGGACAUUGCCUCAUUUUACUAAAGAUGAUUAUGGGCCAGAAAGUCGAGGGUUUGUGGAGAACUCGUACCUGCGUGGGCUGACCCCACAGGAGUUCUUUUUCCAUGCUAUGGGUGGUAGGGAAGGUCUUAUUGAUACUGCAGUGAAGACUUCUGAGACCGGAUACAUCCAGAGGCGGCUAGUGAAGGCAAUGGAAGAUAUAAUGGUAAAAUAUGAUGGAACUGUGAGGAACUCAUUGGGUGAUGUAAUCCAGUUUCUCUAUGGCGAAGAUGGUAUGGAUUCAGUCUGGAUAGAAUCACAGACACUUGAUUCUUUGAAGAUGAAAAAGUCAGAAUUUGAUAAGGCUUUCAGAUUUGAGAUGGAUGAAGAAAACUGGAACCCGAAUUAUAUGCUGCAAGAAUAUAUUGAUGAUUUGAAAACAAUUAAAGAAUUACGAGAUGUUUUUGAUGCAGAAGUUCAGAAACUUGAAGCAGAUAGAUACCAGCUUGCAACGGAGAUAGCAACCUCAGGUGAUAGUUCUUGGCCACUCCCUGUUAACCUUAAGAGACUUAUCUGGAAUGCGCAGAAGACUUUCAAGGUUGAUCCGCGAAGGCCUUCUGAUAUGCAUCCAAUGGAAGUAGUCGAAGCUGUUGAUAAGCUCCAGGAGAGGCUGAAAGUUGUUCCUGGUGAAGAUCCAUUGAGUGUGGAAGCCCAAAAGAAUGCCACCCUUUUCUUUAAUAUCUUGCUCCGUAGCACUUUUGCCAGUAAAAGGGUGUUGAAGGAGCACAGGCUUACCCGUGAAGCGUUUGAGUGGGUUAUUGGUGAAAUUGAGUCACGAUUCUUACAGUCAUUAGUAGCACCUGGGGAAAUGAUUGGCUGUGUUGCUGCACAGUCAAUUGGUGAACCUGCCACCCAGAUGACUCUUAAUACGUUCCAUUAUGCUGGUGUGAGCGCAAAGAAUGUCACUCUAGGAGUUCCAAGGUUGAGGGAAAUUAUAAAUGUGGCUAAGAAAAUCAAAACUCCUUCACUCUCUGUAUUUCUGAAACCUGGCGUUAACUCAACUAAGGAGAGGGCCAAGAAUGUUCAAUGUGCACUAGAGUACACUACUCUCCGUAGUGUUACUGAAGCUACAGAAGUAUGGUAUGAUCCAGAUCCCAUGGGCACAAUUAUUGAAGAGGAUGUUGAAUUUGUCAAGUCUUACUAUGAGAUGCCAGACGAGGACAUUGCACCUGAAAAAAUAUCUCCUUGGUUGCUUCGCAUAGAGCUGAAUCGGGAAAUGAUGGUUGAUAAGAAAUUAAGCAUGGCAGCUGUUGCUGAGAAGAUAAAUCAGGAGUUCGAUGAUGAUUUGACUUGCAUAUUCAAUGAUGAUAAUGCUGAUAAACUCAUCCUUCGUAUUCGCAUAAUGAAUGAUGAAGCUCCAAAGGGAGAAUUGAAUGAUGAAUCAGCUGAAGAUGAUGUUUUCUUGAAGAAGAUUGAGAGUAACAUGCUGACAGAAAUGGCUCUUCGAGGUAUCCCUGAUAUCAACAAGGUGUUUAUUAAAAAGGGUAAAACAACCAAAUAUGAUGAUAAUGAAGGAUUUAAGUCGGAAGAUGAGUGGAUGCUGGAUACUGAAGGUGUGAAUCUUUUAGCCGUUAUGUGUCAUGAAGAUGUUGAUGCGAGAAGGACAACAAGCAAUCACUUGAUUGAAAUAAUUGAAGUACUAGGAAUUGAGGCAGUUCGUCGGGCGCUAUUGGAUGAAUUGAGAGUAGUUAUAUCUUUUGAUGGCUCUUAUGUGAAUUACCGACAUCUGGCUAUACUUUGUGAUACGAUGACCUAUCGAGGCCACUUGAUGGCCAUCACUCGUCAUGGCAUCAACAGGAAUGAUACUGGACCAAUGAUGAGAUGUUCAUUUGAAGAAACGGUUGACAUUCUUCUUGAUGCUGCAGUCUUUGCAGAAUCAGAUUAUUUGAGGGGGGUCACUGAGAAUAUAAUGUUAGGUCAGCUUGCGCCUAUUGGGACAGGAGACUGUUCAUUGUAUCUCAAUGAUGAGAUGCUGAAAAAUGCCAUCGAACUUCAGCUUCCUAGUUAUAUGGAAGGUCUGGAGUUUGGCAUGACACCUGCUCGUUCUCCGGUGUCUGGGACUCCUUAUCAUGAUGGCAUGAUGUCUCCAGGUUACUUGUUUAGCCCAAAUCUCCGUCUGUCCCCGGUCACGGAUGCCCAGUUUUCUCCUUAUGUUGGUGGAAUGGCCUUCUCUCCUACUUCAUCACCCGGAUACAGCCCAUCAUCACCAGGCUACAGUCCGUCAUCUCCUGGAUACAGUCCCACGUCACCUGGAUACAGCCCAACUUCGCCUGGAUACAGUCCCACCUCGCCUGGAUAUAGCCCUACCUCACCAACUUAUAGUCCAAGUUCUCCUGGUUAUAGUCCAACCAGUCCUGCCUAUUCUCCUACCAGUCCAUCGUACUCACCUACUUCACCAAGCUAUAGCCCAACCUCCCCAAGUUACAGCCCAACAUCCCCAAGCUACAGCCCGACCUCUCCAAGUUACAGCCCCACUUCUCCCAGUUACAGUCCAACUUCACCAAGCUAUAGCCCCACCUCACCGGCAUAUAGCCCCACCUCACCUGCAUAUAGCCCCACCUCACCUGCAUACAGCCCCACUUCACCAUCGUACAGCCCAACCUCUCCUUCCUACAGCCCAACAUCACCUUCGUACAGCCCUACCUCACCGUCAUACAGCCCCACUUCUCCAUCGUACAGCCCCACUUCACCAGCCUAUAGCCCCACUUCUCCUGGUUAUAGUCCAACUUCACCAAGUUAUAGCCCAACUUCACCAACCUAUAGUCCUACAUCCCCAAGCUACAAUCCUCAGUCUGCCAAAUACAGUCCGUCGCUGGCCUACUCACCAAGUAGUCCAAGAUUAUCUCCUGCCAGUCCGUACAGCCCUACAUCUCCAAAUUACAGGUAAGCCAUAGUGCGAUAUGUGGUCAAGUCUAAUGUUUGUGUUAAAAGCUGUAUCCAAUUUAUUAGGUCUUGUUUUUGAUAGAAUUCUAUAUACUGAAAUAUCUGUUGAACCUAAGACUUGCUGUAGCUGGGGAUUGGACUUGGAUGGGUUUAAAUUAUUAAUGAUUUUAUCUCUGUUGUUUUUAACAUUAUUAUAUCUGGAUGAUUAUGUUGAUGUAUCUUGUAAGCAACUUUUCUUUUUACGCAGUCCAACAUCAUCUUCGUAUUCACCGACAUCUCCCUCUAUGAUACUGGACCAAUGAUGAGAUGUUCAUUUGAAGAAACGGUUGACAUUCUUCUUGAUGCUGCAGUCUUUGCAGAAUCAGAUUAUUUGAGGGGGGUCACUGAGAAUAUAAUGUUAGGUCAGCUUGCGCCUAUUGGGACAGGAGACUGUUCAUUGUAUCUCAAUGAUGAGAUGCUGAAAAAUGCCAUCGAACUUCAGCUUCCUAGUUAUAUGGAAGGUCUGGAGUUUGGCAUGACACCUGCUCGUUCUCCGGUGUCUGGGACUCCUUAUCAUGAUGGCAUGAUGUCUCCAGGUUACUUGUUUAGCCCAAAUCUCCGUCUGUCCCCGGUCACGGAUGCCCAGUUUUCUCCUUAUGUUGGUGGAAUGGCCUUCUCUCCUACUUCAUCACCCGGAUACAGCCCAUCAUCACCAGGCUACAGUCCGUCAUCUCCUGGAUACAGUCCCACGUCACCUGGAUACAGCCCAACUUCGCCUGGAUACAGUCCCACCUCGCCUGGAUAUAGCCCUACCUCACCAACUUAUAGUCCAAGUUCUCCUGGUUAUAGUCCAACCAGUCCUGCCUAUUCUCCUACCAGUCCAUCGUACUCACCUACUUCACCAAGCUAUAGCCCAACCUCCCCAAGUUACAGCCCAACAUCCCCAAGCUACAGCCCGACCUCUCCAAGUUACAGCCCCACUUCUCCCAGUUACAGUCCAACUUCACCAAGCUAUAGCCCCACCUCACCGGCAUAUAGCCCCACCUCACCUGCAUAUAGCCCCACCUCACCUGCAUACAGCCCCACUUCACCAUCGUACAGCCCAACCUCUCCUUCCUACAGCCCAACAUCACCUUCGUACAGCCCUACCUCACCGUCAUACAGCCCCACUUCUCCAUCGUACAGCCCCACUUCACCAGCCUAUAGCCCCACUUCUCCUGGUUAUAGUCCAACUUCACCAAGUUAUAGCCCAACUUCACCAACCUAUAGUCCUACAUCCCCAAGCUACAAUCCUCAGUCUGCCAAAUACAGUCCGUCGCUGGCCUACUCACCAAGUAGUCCAAGAUUAUCUCCUGCCAGUCCGUACAGCCCUACAUCUCCAAAUUACAGGUAAGCCAUAGUGCGAUAUGUGGUCAAGUCUAAUGUUUGUGUUAAAAGCUGUAUCCAAUUUAUUAGGUCUUGUUUUUGAUAGAAUUCUAUAUACUGAAAUAUCUGUUGAACCUAAGACUUGCUGUAGCUGGGGAUUGGACUUGGAUGGGUUUAAAUUAUUAAUGAUUUUAUCUCUGUUGUUUUUAACAUUAUUAUAUCUGGAUGAUUAUGUU